UUUCUCCCCAUUCAGUUUUUUUCUGAAAUGAGAGCUUGAAGGAUCUUGGUCCACCAACGCUCUUAGAAACCUUCACUAAUCCUUGAAAUUAUAAUACAGUUGCUAAUGGCUGUGACAAAAUUGGCCUUUGGAAACGCUCUCCAUGCUGAACGUUGUGGAUAUACAUCUCAUAGGGAGAUAAGGUGAGAUACCAGUCUUCAAAAAACUGCCAAUGGGGUCAGAAUGGAGGAGCCUACAUGACCUGUGGAAGGUGAGAAACAGUUGCUGGCAUGAAAGAGGCAAGCUUAUCUUCAGUGGAAAUAUUUAGUCCUCAACAAGAUAAGGAUGUUCAGCAACAUGUCCUGGACAUCCACGUCAGGAAUUCCUACAACUCCAACCAAUUGCUGAAGGAUUUAGAAGGUAUAGGAAGAAAGGGGAUGCUUCUCUUUUAUCUAAGCUUUUACUUCAAUUGUAACAUACAUAGAGAAGAAGAUACCCAUUUUCAGUUUAUAGCUCAAUGAAUGAGCUAUACGUUACACGUUACACACACAUGUAACCAGCAUCCUGGCCAAGAUAUAGAACAUCCACAGCAACUCAAAAGCUCUCCUUUCUAUACCUCCUCCUAACCACUGUUCCCUUCCUCUUCCUCAUUUCUAAUACUAAAUAUUAGUUUGGCCUGGUUUUGAAUUUUAUAGACCUUUAGAUUCAAGAGGCUCUGAAUCAGACUCCUUUUACAAAGAAUUUUGCCCUACAGUGGAUAGCUUGUUGGUUUUCUGAGAUGAGGAAAGAAAGAAACUCUGCUUUUUCACUGCCAAGUAAUCUUAUGCCUGAAGGGCUGUUCAUUCUUAGCACUAACUUGUCAGAUACAUGCCCAGAGACUUAGUACCAUUAAGCAAAUAGCACUUAUAAAUUAAAACUCGCUUUUAAUUAAUGAGAGUCAGACUAUAAUUUAUGAACAAUUAUUUACCCAAUAAAAUUAAUUAUAGCCCUGCAUAUGUGACCGAAGCUGUAACACUAAUCAAAUCCAUUUUGACAUCUUUCUGUAUAACCUGUGGUAAGAAUGUAAAUUGGUUUGAAAUGAUUGCAUUUGAGAAGCAGCAUAGCACAGAGAUUAAAAGUGACAAUGCUGGAGCUAGAUAUGGGGCUGAAUCCUGGCUAUGGCACUUAGUAGCUGUGUAUUCUUAGUCUAAUUACUUAAUUUCCCUAGGUUUCACUUUUCUUAUCUGUAAA